GGUGAAUUAAGUUUUAACAACUUUUACCUCAAUGUUUACAGGAAAUCUGACGAGAAUCUUGAUGAGAAUCAACAAAAAACAGUUGAAUCUUGAGCUUGGAUCUGCCAUCUGAGGGAUCUUGAAGUCAUUAAGUCUCAAACAUCAUCCCCGCUGCUCCGACCGUGCUCCUCCGUCCUCUUGGAUUUGGUUCUGAUAUCAAGACUCUCGCACUGCAUGGGAAUACCCAAGGUCAGCCCGUGAACCCCAACUGGAUCCACAGAACGUGUUUGGAUAGGUGCACGUCAGAGCCUGAGACACGGACAGUUUGAUGGGAACCAUCAUAUGCUUCGGACCAGUCAGCCAAAAAAUGAAGCCACUGUGACAGUAACUGGCAACGGAGAGCAGCAGUCCUGCGGCCGUCGGAGGAUCAGCACAUACGGCAUCUGAUCCCACUGAGCGUGAGAUAUGUCCCACUGCCUCCAGCUGCUGUUUGAUCCCAAUUUAUUGCUCUGUGUUUUGGGUUGUUGGUCUAACCCAGACCUCACUAGACCUCC
rnacentral:lncRNA from 1 species